GAAAAAAAAAAAAAAAAAGAUAAAAACCCAGAGAUUGGUUGGCCUAAGGCCUCUUUUCAAAAGCCUCGGGCUAUCUUUGGCCUUUUCAGGACUUUUCUCAGUUGCCCAGUGAGGCGUUGGGUACCUUGGAUGCCAUGCCACAGAGAUGAGGUUGCCGUCCUGGGUGGCUACAAACGUGCAGCAUGGAGAUGCGCAAGUUAAUUAACUUUUCUGAACCGCCAAGUCCUUAUCUGGAAUGCAGGGCAAAGGGCUGGGGUGGGCAGUUAAGAUAUGCUUCCGGCUCCUGGCCUAGCACACGCUGGGUGUCCAAGCAAAGAACAUUAUUUUGUACAAAUGAAAUGUGACAGUGCAGCCCCACAGGGUGCUGGGCGGGUGGGCAAAACUGCCCGCAGAGCGGGCUUUCAAGUGCUAGUCCCCAGUGGCUCAGAUGGUAACGAAUCUGCCUGCAGUGUGGGAGACCCGGGCUCGAUGCCUGGGUCCGGAAGAUGCCCUGGAGAAGGGCACGGCAACCCACUCCAGUACUCCUGCCUGCAGAAUUCCAUGGACACAGAAGCCUGGCGGGCUAUACAGUCCAUGGGGUUACAGAGAGUCGGACACGACUGAGAACUCACUUAAUUCUAUUCCAAGAUCGAUUUGAGGAUCUGGUUGGUUUGGAUGCUGAAGGCUAGAGGUGGGAGGCCUGGUGUCUAAGGUUCACAAGAGUAACCUUCCAGACCAAGGGAAGUCCUGACCCGACGGACUGGCGUCAGGUCAGGAGGUGAUGGCGCCCGCGGGAGGGCAGGAGGGCGGAGACCUCGCCGGAGCCGCCUCCCCGCCCCGGAAAUGGGAGCUUUCUUUACCUGAGGGCAGGUUUCGGUAGAGUAAGCCCUCGGGGUCGCCGGCAGGCCUCCCAACCUGGAAAUCCGCAGAGAUCUGGCAGGGCUUCAGAAAAAGCCUGUUCACCGACCUGCCAGGGAGAGGGUUCAGGAGAACGUGACUGAAGUUUGGUCAAGCACCGAAUCUUGGUCAGCACCGACGGUGGACAUUACCUGGUGUUGAACAGAGCAUCCUGAGGGAAAAGAAGUCGAGGUACCCACCUCUGGCGAGCAGGCCUGGCAGGCCAGGUGCCCGCACCCUGUACUGAUGUAUCGUCAAGGCUUCUCAUGGCCACCUUAAGAGGUCAAAACGGAGACUCCUAAGAGUGCAUUCCCACCAUGAAGCAGACCUAGAACUAGGAAGCCCAGGCUGCCCUCUACUGGUGAUUUCUGGGAAAGACUACAAUGCAGUGGUACCUGACCUGCAACUCAAAGAGGCCAAGAGAACCAGCUCCCAAAGAGCACCCAGAGCAGCUGUCCCUCCUCCAGCCAGGCCCCCCGGUGGAGGGCUGGCAGCAUCCCCAGCGAUCUGAGUGGGUUCUUCCAUCUCUGUCUGGCUGCAGAGGGGCCCAGGACAAUGAGGGCCUCUGGUGC